GAUGAAGAACGCAGCGAAAUGCGAUAAGUAAUGUGAAUUGCAGAAUUCAGUGAAUCAUCGAAUCCUUGAACGCACAUUGCGCCCCUUGGUAUUCCGAGGGGCAUGCCUGUUCGAGCGUCAUUACACCACUCAAGCUAUGCUUGGUAUUGGGCGUCGUCCUUAGUUGGGCGCGCCUUAAAGACCUCGGCGAGGCCACUCCGGCUUUAGGCGUAGUAGAAUUUAUUCGAACGUCUGUCAAAGGAGAGGAACUCUGCCGACUGAAACCUUUAUUUUUCUAGGUUGACCUCGGAUCAGGUAGGGAUACCCGCUGAACUUAAGCAUAUCAAUAAGCGGAGGA
rnacentral:misc_RNA from 1 species